AGCUCCAAUAGCGUAUAUUAAAGUUGUUGCAGUUAAAAAGCUCGUAGUUGGAUUUCUGGUAUGCUGCGCCUGGCCCGCCUCGUUUAGAGUGUGAGUGCCGGUGCGCGGUUGCCAUCCUUCUAGAAAACGCGUCUACCAUUUACUUGGACGGGCGCGCGAUCUAGAUCUUUUACUUUGAAAAAAUUAGAGUGUUUAAAGCAGGCAAUUGUCUUUGAAUAGAUUAGCAUGGAAUAAUAAUUUAGGACUCCGUUCCUAUUUUGUUGGUUUCUAGGAAUGAAGUAAUGAUUGAUAGGGAUAGUUGGGGGUGCUCGUAUUCAGCGGCCAGAGGUGAAAUUCAUGGAUUCGCUGAAGACGAACUUAUGCGAAAGCAUUCACCAAGGAUGUCUUCUUUAAUCAAGAA
rnacentral:rRNA from 1 species